rnacentral:rRNA from 1 species
CAGCACCUCAAGUGGUCAGGAUGAUUAUUGGGCCUAAAGCAUCCGUAGCCGGCGCUGUAAGUUUUCGGUUAAAUCUGUACGCUCAACGUACAGGCUGCCGGGAAUACUGCAGCGCUAGGGAGUGGGAGAGGUAGACGGUACUCGGUAGGAAGGGGUAAAAUCCUUUGAUCUAUUGAUGACCACCCGUGGCGAAGGCGGUCUACCAGAACACGUCCGACGGUGAGGGAUGAAAGCUGGGGGAGCAAACCGGAUUAGAUACCCGAGUAGUCC